rnacentral:rRNA from 1 species
AUUGAACGCUGGCGGCAUGCCUUACACAUGCAAGUCGAACGGCAGCGGGGGAGAAGCUUGCUUUUCCUGCCGGCGAGUGGCGAACGGGUGAGUAAUACAUCGGAACGUGCCCUGUAGUGGGGGAUAACUAGUCGAAAGAUUAGCUAAUACCGCAUACGACCUGAGGGUGAAAGUGGGGGACCGCAAGGCCUCAUGCUAUAGGAGCGGCCGAUGUCUGAUUAGCUAGUUGGUGGGGUAAAGGCCUACCAAGGCGACGAUCAGUAGCUGGUCUGAGAGGACGAUCAGCCACACUGGGACUGAGACACGGCCCAGACUCCUACGGGAGGCAGCAGUGGGGAAUUUUGGACAAUGGGCGAAAGCCUGAUCCAGCAAUGCCGCGUGUGUGAAGAAGGCCUUCGGGUUGUAAAGCACUUUUGUCCGGAAAGAAAUGGCUCUGGUUAAUACCUGGGGUCGAUGACGGUACCGGAAGAAUAAGGACCGGCUAAAUUCGUGCCAGCAGCCGCGGUAA